rnacentral:lncRNA from 1 species
UGAAGAUCACAUAAAAAUAUUUGGAAAAAUCAGAACUAUGGAUUGCAAUAUACAAAAGAUAAAUCAGAAGUUAUCAGAGUGAUCUAUGGAUGAUUUCACCUUGUACACCCGGGAAAAUUGUGAAAAUGAUGGUAAGUAUUUUUUUAUUUAUACCCAGAUAUCCCAGAUGAUUUCAGAUAACCAUUAUAGAUAAAUACCAGCAGAUACUCAAUGAAAUUUUCGCUUUUAGAAAGCAUUACAGGCACGGGGCUGAACACUUUUUUUAGGCACAAUUCUAACUUUGUUUACACCCCCGAGAGAUCCGAAAGGAAUUUGUUUAUGAAUUGAAAAAGGCAUGAACUAACAUAAUAGUUUUAUCUGUAAGUAAACAUGACACAAUACAGUCUUUGUUAUGUAAUUAUCACUCCGGUUUACAGGAAUAACUGAUAAUCAAGGGAGAUAACACACUCAUACGAGUAAAGUGAAAUACAUCAUCAUCAUGUGCUUUUAUCCAAUAAUUUGACCCAUGGUCAGUCAGUAGAUAUCAUAUGCAGUUAAUAAACAGACAAACAUGUACAUGUAUUAAAGAAAUCAUGAAUUAUUAUUUGUAAUGCACACUAGCAAAUCACAAGAUAUUGUCUUUUCUCAGUGAAAAAGGGGGAGGGUCAACAAACCUUUUCGAAAACAAUAUUGCUGCACCUUUUCAACUAUUAAGCUAGUUAGCUACCACUCGUUGCUUCUAAUAUAAAAGAUUUAAAUGAAGGUUGAUAAGCCACAAGGGAGAAGCAUUUUUCUUUCUUUGCGAUAAAACGUUCAAGAAUUUGAUUUUUGCUCUCUCAAUAAUACUUAUGUAUUUCAAACCAAAUAAUAACACAGCCUGAGUAAUUUUUUUGUCUUAUUUCAGUUCCAGAGUCAUAUCAUUACUUUUUAACCUGAGAUGACAAACUAGAGGUUUUAAAAGGUCCUGAAUAACUG